rnacentral:lncRNA from 1 species
CCCCAUUAUUCCCCAUUCUCCAUUAUUCCCCAUUCCCCAUUCCCAUUCCCCAUUAUUCCCCAUUAUUCCCCAUUCCUGGCUCCACCUGUGGUUCCUGGGGAAGCUCUGGAGCCACCCAGGGGCACAAGGGACAGAGCCCAGCGCCCCCCAGCAGGACAGGGACCCGCUCCCUCCCUGGGGACAUCCCGCGAUUCAGGGCCAUUUCUGAGGCCAUCGGGGUCCCUGAGGGGCAGCUGAUCCCGGGGCUGGGGCCGGGAGGAGCCCUCGGUGCCCGAGCUCAGAGCUCCGGGAGGCUCCAGGUGAAGGUGCCACGGUCUGGGCAGCGGGGACAAGCCUGGGAGCAGCACGGGGACAGCACGGGGACAGCACGGAGUGUCAGGGGGACAGCAGGGAGUGUCACCAGUGUCACAGCCCCUGCCCGGGACAGCAGAGAGUGUCACCAGUGUCACAGCCCCCUGCCCAGGGACAGCAGGGAGUGUCACCAGUGUCACAGCCCCUGCCUGGGACAGCACAGAGUGUCACUGGAGUGUCACAGCCCCUGCCCAGGGACAGCAGGGAGUGUCACCAGUGUCACAGCCCCUGCCCAGGGACAGCAGGGAGUGUCACCAGUGUCACAGCCCCUGCCUGGGACAGCAGGCAGUGUCACCAGUGUCACAGCCCCUGCCAGGGACAGCAGGGAGUGUCACCAGUGUCACAGCCCCUGCCCAGGACAGCACAGAGUGUCACCAGUGUCACAGCCCCUGCCCGGGACAGCAGGGAGUGUCACAGCCCCUGCUCAGGGACAGCAGGCAGUGUCACCAGUGUCACAGCCCCUGCCCGGGGCCAGGGCCAGCACUGGGGCUCCCCAGAUUUAGUGUUUGCCACAGGGACCCUGAACCCGCCCUCCCCGGGGGCUCCAUCGGGGGAAAGCGCCAGAGCCGCCCUUAAACCAAACCGAACCAAACCGAACCAAACCAAACCAAACCAGAACCGGAACCGGAAGAACAGAACCCAGACAGGAGAGGGGAGGACCCAGGCCCCGUGGAACAGACCCCAGACAGGACAGGGAAGGUUCCGGAACCCCUCAGCACAGACCCCAGACAGGACAGGGAAGGUCCCGGGCCCCGCGGUCGGGGCCGGCCGUGCUCAGUCCGUGCGGCUGCCCCCGGCCCGGGGCCAUCAUCUGCCGGCAGAGUGCGACUGUGGGGCCAUGAUGACGGGCGAGGCCGCGGGCACGGCCAGCUCUGUCCUUUGCCCGGCCAUGUGGGCCAGCACCGAGCUGGCCACGGCCUCGGCGGCCGAGCGGAGCCCGUUGGGAGCGGCCGAGGCCGAGCUGUGCUGGAUGACGGGCGCGGGCGAGCCCGAGGGCUCCGAGCUCUCCUUGGGGCUCUCUGCGGGACAGGAGCGCGAGAGGAGCGGGUCAGGGACGGCCGGGGCAGCGCCGGGGCACAGGGAUGGGCUGGGGGGAAUGGGGCUGGUUUGGGAAUGGGGCUGGUUUGGGGUUGGGAAUGUCGCUGGUUUGGGAAUGGGAAUGGGGCUGGUUUGGGAAUGGGGCUGGUUUGGGAAUGGGGCUGGUUUGGGAAUGGGAAUGGGAAUGGGGCUGGUUUGGGAAUGGGAAUGGGGCUGGUUUGGGAAUGGGGCUGGUUUGGGGUUGGGAAUGGGGCUGGUUUGGGUUUGGGAAUGGGGCUGGUUUGGGAAUGGGAAUGGGGCUGGUUUGGAAAUGGGUUUGGGUUUGGGUUUGGGAAUGGGGCUGGUUUGGGUUUGGGAAUGGGAAUGGGGCUGGUUUGGAAAUGGGUUUGGGUUUGGGUUUGGGUUUGGGAAUGGGGCUGGCCCAGAGGGGGAUCAGGGACCAGCAGGAAGGGGCCGGACACUCCGGGCCCCUCCCUCGGGGCAGGACUGGGCCAGGACCGGAGCUGGGACACGGGGACGCUCCUCCCAAGCAGAAUCAGGCUGGAUCUCCUGAACUGCGGGCAGGAAGCAGCGCAGCUUCCCGAGGAGGGCAGCACCGGCACAGCCUGCCUCCACCGCUCGCUCCCAGCCCAUCCCUUCCUCGCUAACAGGAAUUCAUUUCCCCCCAGGCUCUGCAGCCGAGGCUGAGCAGCCCCUUCCCCACCCGCCAGGGGCAGCAGGAUGCCCCCGCAGGCCCAGGAGCUCGGCUUUUGGGGGUGCUUUUCACCUAAA